UGGGAUAGCCCUAGGCCAAGGUAUCCCUGACAAUCGAGUAUGAGAAUGAUUUUGGCACGAGCCAAGCUUUUCAAGAAAUCAUAAGCCUCGUUGUUUAUUUGGGUGAAAUGAAUCUAUUUUAUCUUAUUAAAAUGAGUUCGAAAUGUUGUGAAUCAUUUUUAUGCUAAUCUAUAUUUUCUGUCUCCAUUUACUCAGCUUUAGAUAUUUUAGAUGAUAUUUGUUUACUCACUGGGAUUAUAUAAUCUCAUCACUCUCCUUUCCACCCAUUUCAGGCUCAAGAUAGUCGGUAGAUAGCUCAUUUCGUCGAGGGCUAUAGUUGGACUUGCUUCCUCAAAAACUGUAGGUUCACAACCUUCAUUACUUUUAGUCAUUCAGGGACCCACAUGUCAUUGUUAAAUGUUUUGAAUACCUGGCUACGUGUGCUACUGCAUGUAGGAAUUUAUUUUGCUUUUACCCUGUAAAAAU
rnacentral:lncRNA from 1 species